rnacentral:sRNA from 1 species
UGCAUCUGCAGCUCAUGAGGAUGAGAACCUCCGGGGGCAGGGAGGUUCGACUCGAGCGAAGCGAGAGAACGUUGCGCCAGCAACGGCCCGCAGG